CAAGCGGUGGAUGAUGUGGUUUAAUUCGAUGCAACGCGAAAAACCUUACCCACCUUUGACAUGUACGGAAUUUGCCAGAGAUGGCUUAGUGCUCGAAAGAGAACCGUAACACAGGUGCUGCAUGGCUGUCGUCAGCUCGUGUCGUGAGAUGUUGGGUUAAGUCCCGCAACGAGCGCAACCCUUGUCAUUAGUUGCUACAUUUGGUUGGGCACUCUAAUGAGACUGCCGGUGACAAACCGGAGGAAGGUGGGGAUGACGUCAAGUCCUCAUGGCCCUUAUAGGUGGGGCUACACACGUCAUACAAUGGCUGGUACAAAGGGUUGCCAACCCGCGAGGGGGAGCUAAUCCCACAAAACCAGUCGUAAUCCGGAUCGCAGUCUGCAACUCGACUGCGUGAAGUCGGAAUCGCUAGUAAUCGUGGAUCAGAAUGUCACGGUGAAUACGUUCCCGGGUCUUGUACACACC
rnacentral:rRNA from 1 species